rnacentral:rRNA from 2 species
ACGGAAGGCAGCAGUGGGGAAUAUUGCACAAUGGGGGAAACCCUGAUGCAGCGACGCCGCGUGAGUGAAGAAGUUAUUCGUAAUGUAAAGCUCUAUCAGCAGGGAAGAAGAUGACGGUACCUGACUAAGAAGCACCGGCUAAAUACGUGCCAGCAGCCGCGGUAAUACGUAUGGUGCAAGCGUUAUCCGGAUUUACUGGGUGUAAAGGGAGCGCAGACGGCAGAGCAAGUCUGAAGUGAAAUCCCCGGGCUCAACCCGGGAACUGCUUUGGAAACUGUUUUGCUAGAGUGUCGGAGAGGUAAGUGGAAUUCCUAGUGUAGCGGUGAAAUGCGUAGAUAUUAGGAGGAACACCAGUGGCGAAGGCGGCUUACUGGACGAUAACUGACGUUGAGGCUCGAAAGCGUGGGGAGCAAACAGGAUUAGAUACCCUGGUA